AACAAGCGGUGAUGAUGCUGACGUUAUGUCACUGCCCUGAAUACCAACUGUGGGUCCUUAAGUCACUACCUCAUCUGAGCUUGUU